rnacentral:tRNA from 1 species
GAUAAUAUGGCUGAGAAUUAAGCGAUAAAUUGUAAAUUUAUAAACGAGGUUACUCUAUUAUCA